GAGAACACGCUGGGGAGACUUCAGAGUGGAGGAGAGCUGGUGAGGGCUGGAGAUCUGCGAAUGGGUGAAUCACACCGGUCUGAAGAAACCCCCAUAAGGAUUCUAGCCUCAACUUUCUCUCUGGUCCUGCUUUCUGCCUCUUGACCAACUAAGUCUUUCCCGUGUGGUCCUGCAUGGUGUGCUAUGCCCCCUGUUUCUAGGACCUGCUAGGGGUCGAAUCAGAGCUGUACCUGCUGGCUUACACCACAGACACAGCAAAGCUAGAUCCAAGUCAAGUCUGCAGUCUACACCAUAGCUCACGGCAACAGCAUAUCCUUAACCCAGUGAAUGAGGCCAGGGAUCAAACCUGCAUCCUCAUGGAUACUAGGUGGAUUCAUUUCCACUGAGCCGUGAUGGGAACUCCAGAAUUUUCUCCCUAAGCUUAUGAGGGCAUUGGUUCCAGGAUCACCCUCCCUGCACCUCCCACUAUAAACAGCAGAUGCUCAAGUCUCUUUCAUUAAAAGAGCUCCUGCGCAUUUCCAUAAAGGACAAGAAACUCGUGUUCCUUCCCAAGGAGGAAAAAGCACCAGUGAAAGUUUCUUCUAAAGGCUUCUCAACUCUUCACCCCCACUGCUCCAUGGGAAGGAUCCACUUCUUUCCAGGGUGAUUGACAGCAGCGAUGUUCACUCCUUUCAAGAGAAACACCACCCUCCUCUACAGGAGCAUUUCCUGGCAACCACAUCAGAACACAGUGGUCUUAUAAUAGUACUUUCUGGGCUAAUCAAUCUUCAAUAAUAUCAUGGUCAGGAGACGAGAAGUUCAAUCCAGGUUGAAUCCUGCCAAAACCAAACCAGUCCCCUUGCUAAGGUGAAGUCAUUUUCAGCUCACCAUCCCCACCCUUUUGCCUUUUGGCCUCAUGUGAACAAAAACACACUCAUCCAAGUAGAACACAUGCAUACGUCAGUGGUGUAAGAAAUCAUUUUUCUAAGGGAAACAGAUCUACAGAGAUGCAACUCUUUCCGCACUAACAGUAGUAACCUGUUCCCUUAUCUUACAAAGGAGCUUAGCCUCUGGAAUCAGUAAUAUCUCCAUUUUAUAAAGCUGUGUUUAUUUUACAUUUUUGGAGUAUAAAGACUCAUUCAGAUGGUUUGCCCCAAAACAGAAGUCUGUACUUUUUGAAUUUAAGUUUCUACUUUUUGAGUGACAUACAACUACUUGUGGUUUUAAAAUGUCAGUUUUUCCAGGUUGUAUCCAUUAAGAUUUCAAAUAAGUCUCAGCCCAGGCACCACAUAAAUGCUAAUUUCAGUUGGAAUCCAAAUUCCUUAGCAUAACCUUCAAGGCAAAACACACUUGGGCCUGUCUCACCAACACAUAUGAAUGUAUCUCCCCAUCAUUUCAAACAUGCAUGUCUCUACCCAAGUUGGAGAAAAGUCUUUCCAGAAGCUACACUUGCAUCUUUUUUUUUUUUUUUUUUUUUUUUGGUCUUUUUGUCUUUUUAGGGCUGUAUUCACGGCAUAUGGAGAUUCCCAGGCUAGGGGUCCAGUUGGAGCUAUAGACGCUGGCCUACACCACAGCCACAGCAACGUCAGAUCUGAGCCAGGUCUUUGACCUACACCACAACUCAUGGCAAUGCCAGAUCCUUAACCCACUGAGUGAGGCCAGGGAUCGAACCCACAUCCUCAUGGAUGCUAGUCAGGUAUAUUAACCACUGAGCCACAAUGGGAAUUCUAACACUUGCAUCUUUAUUCAUGCCACCCUUCCAUCUAGUAUCUCUCUGAUCAAAUUCCCCACCAUUUGAGGAAGUCUUUUACUUCACUUGAUGCUGUUCAUUUUUCCCUUUGGAUUUGUCCAAGGCUCCUCUCAUUCAUCCACCCACCCACCUACCUACCCAACAGCAGUGCAUCAGAGGCCUUGCCUUGUACAAGAUGCUAUGUUGGCUCUAUGGGGCUUUUGGAAAUAGCUAACAUGUGGGUUCUCCCUCAAGGAGUUUACAAUCUUGUAGAAAAGUAUACAUACACCAAAGCUGUGUUAGUUUUCCACUCUAGAACCAUUUACAUUUCUUUUCUCACCUCAAAAUCUUCUGUACUCUUUCUCUUGUUACUCAUCCUUCAUAGUCAGAAGAGGCAUUUGAACAAUAACAUUAUUUACCCACUCUGUAAUUGAUGUUUUUUUUCCUUCCAGUUCUUAGACACUUCUAAUCAAGCUGCUAUAAACAUAAAUAGCCAUUCUCUGAUUCCAAACUUGCCCUGAGCUCUACAGAAAAAAGAGAUGUGAUGAGAUGAGGCCUCCCUCAUGUUCUCAACACCAAACCAUCCACCUACCUGCAUUGGUAACCACAGUCUCUACCAUCCCUUGUCCCUGCUCUUACCUAAGCUAAGUGUUUCCAUUAGGAUCCAGAUCUCUCUGCAAUUGUCCCCAUUCUUUCCUGUGUAGCCAAUUUCUCUCUCUAUUGGCUCACUCUCAUCCACACACAUGUAUGCCUUAAUCGCACACAUUAAAAAAAAAAAAAAAA
rnacentral:lncRNA from 1 species